GCCGCAAUGUGCUACACAGGGACCUGAAGCCCCAGAACCUGCUAAUAAACAGGAAUGGGGAGCUGAAAUUGGCUGAUUUUGGCCUGGCUCGAGCCUUUGGGAUUCCCGUCCGCUGUUACUCAGCUGAGGUGGUCACACUGUGGUACCGCCCACCGGAUGUCCUCUUUGGGGCCAAGCUGUACUCCACGUCCAUCGACAUGUGGUCAGCCG
rnacentral:misc_RNA from 1 species